AUUUUACAGAAGGGGGAACUGAGGCUCAGUAGGAUAAUGUGAUUUGUUCAAGGUCACACAGCUAGUAAGUGGUGCAGCCAGGACUGGAACCCAAGCAUCUGGCUCCAGCGUUCUUUCUUAAGCUUCCUAGGGCACCCUGGAGGUUCCUUUCCAUGUUCCUUUUUCAUCAGGCCUGCCUGGGCAUCCUAAUUGGCCUAGCCUGCACAGUGUCUGAGGGUAGGGCCUUCUUGUCUCUCUGCUCCAGGUCUGUGGGGUGUGGCGGGCGGUGCCUCGGUUGUCUCUGCGGCUCCUUAGGGCAGAACAGCUGCAUGUGGCACUUGUGACACUCACUCACCCUUCAGGGGAGGUCUGGGGGCCUCUCAUCCGGCACCGGGCCCUGGCUGCAGAGACCUUCAGUGCCAUCCUGACUCUAGAAGGCCCCCCACAGCAGGGCGUAGGGGGCAUCACCCUGCUCACUCUCAGUGACACAGAGGACUCCUUGCAUUUUUUGCUGCUCUUCCGAGGGCUGCUGGAACCCAGGAGUGGGGGUAAGUGGGAUGGGGGCAAAACAUGUGAGAAGGUUAGGGAGAGCACCUGUCUCAGAAAGACCCACAUGUGCGGCCUUGCAGGACUAACCCAGGUUCCCUUGAGGCUCCAGAUUCUACACCAGGGGCAGCUACUGCGAGAACUUCAGGCCAAUGUCU
rnacentral:sRNA from 1 species